AUUGAACGCUGGCGGCAUGCUUUACACAUGCAAGUCGAACGGUAACAGGCCGCCAGGUGCUGACGAGUGGCGAACGGGUGCGUAAUGCAUCGGAACGUGCCCAGUCGUGGGGGAUAACUACUCGAACGAGUAGCUAAUACCGCAUACGAUCUAUGGAUGAAAGCGGGGGACCGUAAGGCCUCGCGCGAUUGGAGCGGCCGAUGUCAGAUUAGGUAGUUGGUGGGGUAAAGGCUCACCAAGCCAACGAUCUGUAGCUGGUCUGAGAGGACGACCAGCCACACUGGGACUGAGACACGGCCCAGACUCCUACGGGAGGCAGCAGUGGGGAAUUUUGGACAAUGGGCGCAAGCCUGAUCCAGCAAUGCCGCGUGCAGGAAGAAGGCCUUCGGGUUGUAAACUGCUUUUGUACGGAACGAAACGGCUCUGGUUAAUACCCGGGGCUAAUGACGGCACCGUAAGAAUAAGCACCGGCUAACUACGUG
rnacentral:rRNA from 1 species